rnacentral:rRNA from 1 species
UACGAAGGGGGCUAGCGUUGUUCGGAAUCACUGGGCGUAAAGCGCACGUAGGCGGAUCGUUAAGUCGGGGGUGAAAUCCCAGGGCUCAACCCUGGAACUGCCUUCGAUACUGGCGAUCUUCGAGUCCGGGAGAGGUGAGUGGAACUCCGAGUGUAGAGGUGAAAUUCGUAGAUAUUCGGAAGAACACCAGUGGCGAAGGCGGCUCACUGGCCCGGUACUGACGCUGAGGCACGAAAGCGUGGGGAGCAAACAGG